rnacentral:rRNA from 1 species
GACGGGGGAUGCAAGUGUUAUCCGGAAUUACUGGGCGUAAAGGGUGUGCAGGCGGGGUUGCAAGUGGGGUAUGAAAUAUCCCAGCUUAACUGGGAGGGGUUAUGCCAGACUGCAACUCUAGAGGAUGAGAGAGGGGGGUGGAAUUCCGGGUGUAGUGGUGAAAUGCGUAGAGAUCCGGAGGAACCCCAGAGGCGAAGGCGGCCCCCUGGCUCGUACCUGACGCUCAGCCACGAAAGCAUGGGGAGCGAACGGG